GACGGAGGGUGCUAGCGUUGUUCGGAAUUAUUGGGCGUAAAGAGCUCGUAGGCGGUCUGUCGCGUCUGCUGUGAAAUCCCGAGGCUCAACCUCGGGCUUGCAGUGGGUACGGGCAGGCUAGAGUGCGGUAGGGGAGAAUGGAACUCCUGGUGUAGCGGUGGAAUGCGCAGAUAUCAGGAAGAACACCGAUGGCGAAGGCAGUUCUCUGGGACGGUACUGACGCUGAGACGCGAAAGCGUGGGGAGCGAACAGG
rnacentral:rRNA from 1 species